rnacentral:rRNA from 1 species
AUUGAACGCUGGCGGAAUGCUUUACACAUGCAAGUCGAACGGCAGCACGGACUUCGGUCUGGUGGCGAGUGGCGAACGGGUGAGUAAUGUAUCGGAACGUGCCCAGUCGUGGGGGAUAACGAAGUGAAAAUUACGCUAAUAACGCAUACGUUCUAUGGAUGAAAGCGGGGGAUUGCAAGACCUCGCGCGAUUGGAGCGGCAGAUAUCAGAUUAGGUAGUUGGUGGGGUAAAGGCCCACCAAGCCAACGAUCUGUAGCUGGUCUGAGAGGACGACCAGCCACACUGGAACUGAGACACGGUCCAGACUCCUACGGGAGGCAGCAGUGGGGAAUUUUGGACAAUGGGCGAAAGCCUGAUCCAGCCAUUCCGCGUGCAGGAUGAAGGCCCUCGGGUUGUAAUCUGCUUUUGUACAGAACGAAAAGGUUUCUACUAAUACUAGGAGCUCAUGACGGUACCGUAAGAAUAAGCACCGGCUAACUACGUGCCAGCAGCCGCGGUAA